rnacentral:rRNA from 1 species
UACGUAGGCAGCAAGCGUUGUUCGGAGUUACUGGGCGUAAAGGGUGUGUAGGCGGCCUGUUUAGUUCCGUGUGAAAUCUCCCGGCUCAACCGGGAGGGUGCGCGGAACACUGGCGGGCUAGAGUACGGGAUGGGAGAGUAGAAUUCCUGGUGUAGCGGUGAAAUGCGUAGAUAUCAGGAGGAAUACCUGCGGUGUAGACGGCUCUCUGGACCGUAGCUGACGCUGAAACACGAAAGCGUGGGUAGCAAACAGG